rnacentral:rRNA from 1 species
AUUGAACGCUGGCGGCAGGCCUAACACAUGCAAGUCGAGCGGGGUUUUCGGACCUAGCGGCGGACGGGUGAGUAAUGCGUAGGAAGCUACCCGAUAGAGGGGGAUACCAGUUGGAAACGACUGUUAAUACCGCAUAAUGUCUACGGACCAAAGUGUGGGACCUUCGGGCCACAUGCUAGCGGAUGCGCCUACGUGGGAUCAGCUAGUUGGUGAGGUAAUGGCUCACCAAGGCGACGAUCCCUAGCUGGUUUGAGAGGAUGAUCAGCCACACUGGAACUGAGACACGGUCCAGACUCCUACGGGAGGCAGCAGUGGGGAAUAUUGGACAAUGGGCGCAAGCCUGAUCCAGCCAUGCUGCGUGUGUGAAGAAGGCCUUCGGGUUGUAAAGCACUUUCAGUAGGGAGGAAGGGUUAAGUGUUAAUAGUACUUAACUUUGACGUUACCUACAGAAGAAGCACCGGCUAACUCUGUGCCAGCAGCCGCGGUAAAAC